GUUCACCCGUGAACCCGCGCCCACCAGCCUGCGGCAGAAGACUCCGGGGUGAGAGAUGGACCUGGAGUCAGCAGGGCUGGUGCGGGGCGACGGCCCCGCAGACUGCGUGCUUUCUGUCAGUAUUAGCCUGUCCUGUUGUGGCCAUGCCUUUCUCCCCGCGUGCUGGGCUCUGUCCUGGGCCCUGGAAGGCAGAGCAUGUGCCGGUGUGCCGGCCCUGGCCCCUCUGGGGACAGCUCAAGGAUCCGUGCGUGGCCGUGCCACCACGCUCCCGACGGAGGGAGCCGGGGUGGUGGUCAGCAAAGCAUCACCCUCUCUCCACACCCCCUCACAGCGUACCUUCAGGGCCCGUGGUUUUGGUGUGUUUGAUUUUCUUCCAAACCAAAGGGGGCAUGGGUUCAGAGGCACGUGCGGUGUUGGCUUUAUGGCCACGUCCAGGCAGGGGCCCUGAGGACAUGGUGGGAAGCUGGCCAGGGCCUGGAGGGUGGCGCGCUGUGAGCAGGGCAAGGACCCCACAGCCCGCAUCCUGCUCUCCUCAUCCAUCCGGCUGAGCCGGGAAGGGAGCCGAAAGGUCUGCCCUGGGCUCCGCAGCUCCCCCAGGACCCUGGCUGGGCUCCCGUCCUGUCCACGGAGCCCAGAAGAGGCCCAUGCCGUGACCUCGGGAACUGGACAUGGUCUGUGCCCGCACCUGCCUGCUCUCUCCUGCCUCGCUCCUCAUCCUGCCAUCUCGGCCCCCUCACUUAAGGGCCCUGACUCUUCCUGCUAAUAAUGAGGAAGCCUGGUGUCCCAGCCAGCCAGAGGGUUACCCCUCCCACCUCCCUGGGGUGGGAGGUUAAAGAAGGUCCCACACCCCCUCCCCCAGAAAAGGAAUAGUCCUAGAGUUUGGUGCCAGAAGCAAGGGCGGGGGAGGCACCCCCACACGAAUACGCAGUGUGGCUGUGGUUGGGUGUUGGGUUGUUUGUUUUUUUUUUUCCCUCCUUUGAGAAUUUUAUUUUGUAGAAGCAAAAUGAAAUACUUUUUUAAAACUGAAAUCUGUGGAUGAAUUAGAAGCUGGAACCCUCCUCUUGGAAUAUUCAGCCUAAGAACCUCAUGGGACUAUGAAUUCACCCAAAAUUUUCAUUUGCCAUCAGGCCGAGCUUUUAAAGAAAAAAAUAAAUUGUUCUCUAACCAGGAUUGUAACAAAAGUGUAAAUACUAUUUCAGAGUUGAAAGUUGACGGUGCAAAUAUGUAUAUAACGUACUGUAUUUUUACAAUGAUCGUCGCAUGACUAUUCCUCCCCCUUUUUGUACUCCAUAUCUGUCUUCCAGAAACACCACCUGUCCUUUCUCCUGUGGUCUCUUAAUCCAAUAAUUGUAUUACUGCCAUUAAAGGAUGCAGUUAUUUUAAAAAAAAACACAACUAAUC
ensembl:lncRNA